ensembl:lncRNA
AUGGAGGAUAAAUGUUUGAGUGUUCUCAUAGGAUUCCAAGAAGACACAGAGGGAGCAUUUACAUACGAGUCUACGUGUUCUCACCAUGGACACCUGUGGAUGUGUGUAAGCUUGCGUGUGUGCAAAAACUUCUGCACUCUGUUCCAUGGGGUGAGUCACUUCUGUUAUAGGGAUCUUGGAUGUAGAGUCAAUGUCUGGGACAUGGGAUAUCCAGUUUAUUCUAGAGAUUUGAAAGACUGGGCGUCCAGAUACCUGUACCUCUCCAGGAAGGCCUUUGCCUGGACCAUGCCAGUCUCUGGCUGCUGAGCUGCUGGGUAGGUUUAGAACCAGGGGGAUCCCUGGGCGGGAGAUGCUGAGGGAAGUGAGGGAAUGUGGAGUGACGUGAAGGUCGGUAAGCUCUCCACUCACACCCCUUCUCCAGUAGCCCCACCCUGGCAGUGGCCCAUUUCUGCACACCUACAAAGACGUCUCCAAAAUGUGUUGGCCACGGUGGCACAGUCUGGUUGGCUGAAACAAAAAGAGGGGUGUUUAUUGUAGGGCGCCUGGGGCGUCUCAGAACACCCAAGGGCAGGAGCGGUUGCCAGUCCCUGAGGGCGGGAGCCCGGAGCUGAAGCCAUCAGAAAGCAGGCCUCGGCCUUUUGCUCGGCGAGCUGCCCCUGCACACUGCUCUCUCCCCAGACCAGCUCUCUCUGCGUCUCUGAGAAAAGUCUACAGCUACACAGCUCUGGAGAUGACUUGUCUUCAGUCCUUUAGUAUUUGUCUGGUCAGUGCUCUGAAGGCUCCAUUCUGGCUCCUGGGAGAUACUGCAAGUGGCCACCCUCUGACCAGCUACAUCCAGGGGACCUGGGUCGUGAGGCUUCCAGGGUCACAACACACUGGGAAGACAGUACAAAUGGCUCCCCAAGACAAACAGCUCGGCCUCCAUGAAGACCCCUGCCCAGCUCCUCUCUCUUGAGUUCCCACAGUACUUUACUUGCCCCCUUCUAUGGCACUUAUUGUUUCCUACCUUGUGUGAGUAUUGCUUUCACAAACAUCUUAUCCCCCCAUCCCAUGUAUCACUAAGCUUCUCUUUUAUCUUUAUAAACCUCACAGCUUGUGCAGAAAACCUGGGCAGGUACUGAAUACAUAUUUGAAGUCAUGAUAAUCCUCAAAUAAAAAAAGUUUUUAAGAGGCUGAAGUAACUUGGCCGGGUCAUUUAUUUCGCUGCACUGUGUUGAGUUGAUUCAAUUCAAUUCAUUCAAUCAAUUAAUUCAUACAACCAAAUUUUACUGAGCACCUUCUGGAUACUAGGCACUGCCCUGGAUGCGCAGAAGCUCCAGCACCAAACAAGACAAAGAAAGUUCUCACCCCACUCAACUUCCACAUGAGUGGAGAUCAUCAACAAACUAGACUAUACACAGUGCCCAGGUAGAGGUGUGUAAACCUCCGGCACUGCCUUGAGGAGCCCACUUUCCUUGGGCGUCUCAGACGAAUCAUCGGAUACAUUCCUGGGUGACAGGACAGUGCUGUCAAAGGAUGAAGGAGAAGUGGUGUCAGACUUCAAAGAGAGAGUGAUUUACCACCUGGGGUAGAAGAAGGGAACCAACGGAGGUUUCACUGAGAAGCGGGACACGUGACUGAACUUGCAGAGUGAGUAGGAGUAUGCCAGGGAGAGGUGUGUGUGUGUGUGUGUGUGUGUGUGUGUGUGUUGAGGGGAUUGGGGGCAGGGAAAAAGAGGGGAGAAUGACAGUGAUAAAACCCUUCCAGAUAGACAGAUGCAAAAAAAGAUUUUAAGCAUUAUGAGAUGGAUGCUGUUCCAGAGAAAGCUACAGUUUGAAAAGGCGCAUGCAUCCUGUGCUCACUGCAGCGCAAGUCAUGACAGCCAAGACAUGGAGGCAGCUGAGAUGCCCACUGGUAGAUGAGUGGGCAAAGAAGAUGUGGCAUACAUAUAUACAUAUAAUGGAUAUUACUCAGCCCAAACAGGUUGAAAUAAUGCCAUUUGCAGCAACAUGGUGGACCUAGAGAUUAUCAUACUAAGUGAAGGAAGCCAGGCAAAAACAAACAUCAUGUGAUAUCAUUUAUAUGUGGAAUCUAAAAAAUGACAGAAAUAAACUUAUUUACAAAACAAAAUAGACCCACAGGCAUAGAAAACAAACUUACGAUUAUGAAAGGGGAACAAGGGAGAGGGAUAAAUUAGGAUUUGGGAUUAACAUACACACACUGGUGCUUAGCGCUCAGUCUCUCAGUCGUGUCCGACUCUUGCGACCCCAUGGGCUGCAGCCUGCCAGGCUCCUCUGUCCAUGGGGUUCUCCAGGCAAGAGUACUGGAGGAGGCUGCCAAGCCCUUCUCCAGGGGAUCUUCCAGACCCAGGGGUCGAACCUAGGUCUCCAGCAUAUCCUGCUUUGAAGGCAGAUUCUUUACCCUCUGAGCCACCAGGGAAGCCCAUGAAUACUGGAGUGGGCAGCCUUUCCCUUCUCCAGGGGAUCUUCCCAACACAGGAAUUGAACUGGGGUCUCAUGCAUUGCAGGCAGAUUCUUUACCAGGGAAGCCACUACGAUAUAUAAGAUAGAUAAGCAACAAGGACCUACUGCAUAGCACAGGGAACUACACUCAGUAUUUUGUAGUAACCUAUAAGGGCAAAGAAUCUGUAAAAGAAUAUAUAUCUGCAUCACUUUGCUGUACACCUGAAACUAACACAACGUUGUAAAUCAACUAGACUUCAAUUAAAAAACAGAAGAAAGAGCUGCUGGUUCUGGAAUAUGGUGAGACGUUCAGCGUUUAUGGAACACAAGGAACACGGGGAACAGAAUGAUGAAGUUAGCCAGAGACCUUGCCUAGCCUUGUAUGCUGAGCCAAGGGGGUGAUAGGUACGUAUCAACAGCCAGCUGCCCUGGCAACUGGAGGGCAAGGAUGUUGGCUGAUUUUGGCGUGGGACCUGGCAGAGCCUGGAGACCAGCAAUAACUCUAGGCCAGGAACAUAUUCUAGAAGGCCCCAGGAUGAAGCAUUGCACUGGCCUUGGGGUUGCUAACCUCUGGCUCAGAGAAAGAGGGCUGGAUAAUGAGAAGACGUUUUCAAUCCCAAAUUGCAACCUUCCUCAGAAAGCACUAAAUUUUCCUACUUUUAUUCCCUGGUGAGUGUAGUGGGAUUUUCUAAAUCUUGCAGUUGAAUUUCAAGAGAUCAAAAGAAAAGCUGUUCAUUUGUAGUUUUUCUUUCUUUUUUUUUUAAAGCCAGCAGAAGUGGGGGCUGCCAUACUCACAUGUCUUAUAACUUAUCCUAUAGUCCAUGACCCCUCAGUUCAGUUCAGUCGCUAAGUCCUGUCCGACUCUUUGUGACCCCAUGGACUGCAGCACGCCAGGCCUCCCUGUCCAUCACCAGCUCCCAGAGCUUGCUCAAAUUCAUGUCCAUUGAGUCUGUGAUGCCAUCCAGCCAUCUCAUCCUCUGUCAUCCCCUUUUCCUCCUGCCUUCAAUCUUUCCCGGCAUUAGGGUCUUUUCCAAUGAGUCAUCUCUUCGCAUCAGGUGGCCAAAGUAUCAGAAAAGACAAAAAGGUCUCUAGAAACUGCUCCUGUCCUGGGAUGCUGUUCCUCAUGGGACCACAGGGGUGUCCUCUCUUAUCCCAAGAUACCUGGGCAGGGGUGGAUCGUGGCCAACUUCUCGAGACCGUUCCCUGGUCAAAGUCACACCCUGGGCCCCUUCCACCUUUCCAGCUCUGCCUCCAUCCCCUCCCAACUCCAAGUUAGCCUCCAGCCGUGUUGGCCUUCUUGCUAACUCCGAUGUUCAGGUCUCCAGGACAGUUGUAGACAACUUUUCCCCUCAUCUCUGUCUGUCAAAUAUCCUGUUCCUGUCAAAUACUCCUGUUCCAGGUCAAGCCCAAAGGUCCUUGUCAGUGUGGAGACUUCCCCAGUCCAUUUGACCCAAGAGCUCCCCCUUCUGUACUCUCUCAGCACUUUAGACUCAUCUCUGUUACUACGUAGUAUUAUAGCUUUUACUAUGUUCUUAUGUGAAGUCAACUGAAUUUGUUGACUAAACCUCAAUCAUCUCUGUAUCCCUAGGCCCUAAUAACUGUGCCUGACAAACAAUAGGCUCUUGAUAAAUACUGUUUUUUAAAAAAAUUAAUUAAUUUUAAUUGGAGGAUAAUUACUUUACAAUAUUGUGAUGGUUUUUGCAAUACAUCAACAUGAAUCAGCCAUGGGUAAACAUGUGUCCCCCACCUCCUGAACCCCACUCCCACAUCCCCCCCCACUCUAUUCCUCUGGGUUGUCCCAGAGCCCCAGCUUUGGGUGCCUUGCUUCAAGCCUCGAACUUGCACUGGUCAUCUCGCUUACAUAUGUUUCAAUGCUAUUCGUUCAAAUCAUCCCACCCUCGCCUU